rnacentral:rRNA from 1 species
CCCGGUGUAGCGGUGAAAUGCGUAGAUAUCGGGAAGAACACCAGUGGCGAAGGCGNUCUGCUGGGCCAUUACUGACGCUCAUGGACGAAAGCCAGGGGAGCGAAAGGGAUUAGAUACCCCUGUAGUCCUGGCCGUAAACGAUGAACACUAGGUGUCGGGGGAAUCGACCCCUUCGGUGUCGUAGCUAACGCGUUAAGUGUUCCGCCUGGGGAGUACGCACGCAAGUGUGAAACUCAAAGGAAUUGACGGGGGCCCGCACAAGCGGUGGAGUAUGUGGUUUAAUUCGAUGCAACGCGAAGAACCUUACCAGGGUUUGACAUCCUGCGAACCUCUUAGAAAUUUGAGGGUGCCUUCGGGAAUGCAGUGACAGGUGGUGCAUGGCUGUCGUCAGCUCGUGUCGUGAGAUGUUGGGUUAAGUCCCGCAACGAGCGCAACCCACGUUUUUAGUUGCCAGCAUUUAGUUGGGCACUCUAGAAAGACCGCCGGUGAUAAACCGGAGGAAGGUGUGGAUGACGUCAAGUCAUCAUGCCCCUUACACCCUGGGCUACACACGUACUACAAUGCUACGGACAAAGGGCAGCAAACUCGCGAGAGCUAGCAAAUCCCAUAAACCGUGGCUCAGUUCAGAUCGUAGGCUGCAACUCGCCUACGUGAAGUAGGAAUCGCUAGUAAUCGCAGGUCAGCAUACUGCGGUGAAUACGUUCCCGGGCCUUGUACACACCGCCCGUCACACCAUGGAAGUUGGCCAUGCCCGAAGUCGUUACUCCAACCCUUGUGGAGGAGGACGCCGAAGGUGGGGCUAAUGACUGGGGUGAAGUCGUAACAAGGUAGCC